AGAGCGUAGGGAGAAUGCCUUGGCAUUAGGAGCCGACGAAGGACGUGAUAAGCUGCGAUAAGCUGCGGGGAUCAGCAAGUAUGAAUUGAUCCGCAGAUUUCCGAAUGGAGCAAUCCGUAUGUGUAUGCACAUACAUCAUAUACUGAAUCAAAUAGGUAUAUGAGGGGAACCGCCUGAACUGAAACAUCUAAGUAGGGCGAGGAAGAGAAAUCAACCGAGAUUCUGUGAGUAGUGGCGAGCGAAAGCGGAAGAGGCUAAACCAUAGGUAGCAAUACUUAUGGGGUUUCGGACAGCAUUUAGUAUUGAUAAUUUCUAGUUGAAACGUGUGGGAAAACGUACCGAAGAGUGUGAGAGUCACGUAAGCGAAAGAGAAAGUCAACGAGCUGUAUCCAAAGUACCGCGGGACACGUGAAACCCCGUGGGAAGAUGGGGGGACCAUCCUCCAAGCCUAAAUACUACCUAAUGACCGAUAGCGAAUAGUACUGUGAAGGAACGGUGAAAAGAACCCCGGGAGGGGAGUGAAAAAGAACCUGAAACCCUAUGCUUACAAGCACCGAGAGCACGUCAAAGUGUGAUCGGGUACCUUUUGUAGAAUGGUCCGGCGAGUUAUUGUAUGCGGCAAGGUUAAGUGCUUAAGGCACGGAGCCGAAGCGAGAGCAAGUCUGAACAGGGCGAGUAAGUCGUAUGCAAUAGACCCGAAACCGAGUGACCUAUCCAUGUCCAGGCUGAAGUGGAGGUAAAACUCCAUGGAGGGCCGAACACACGUCCGUUGAAAAGGCCGGUGAUGAGGUGUGGAUAGCGGAGAAAUUCCAAUCGAACUCGGAUAUAGCUGGUUCUCUCCGAAAUAGCUUUAGGGCUAGCCUCGUGAAAGAUUACUGGAGGUAAAGCACUGAAUGGGCUAGGGGUCGAAAGAUUACUGAACCCUAUCAAACUAAGAAUGCCAGAUAAUUGAUUCACGGGAGUCAGACAAUGUGAGAUAAGUCUCAUUGUCAAAAGGGAAACAGCCCAGACCCACAGCUAAGGUCCCUAAACAUUGUUAAGUGGAAAAGGAUGUGGGGUUGCAUAAACAACCAGGAUGUUGGCUUAGAAGCAGCCACUCAUUAAAAGAGUGCGUAAUAGCUCACUGGUCGAGUGACCCUGCGCCGAAAAUUCAACGGGGCUAAACAAUGUACCGAAGCUUGGGAUUCUAAAGUAAUUUAGAGUGGUAGGAGAGCGUCGAAUAAGGGGUGAAGUCAGAGCGGAAGCGCUGGUGGACUUUAUUCGAGUGAGAAUGCCGGAAUGAGUAGCGAGAAUUAUGUGAGAAUCAUAAUGGCCGAAAAUCUAAGGUUUCCUGAGGAAGGUUCGUCCGCUCAGGGUAAGCCGGGGGCUAAGGCGAGGCGGAGACGCGUAGCCGAUGCACAUACGGUUGAAAUUCCGUAGCCACCGAAAGAUUUAAGUACAGGGACGCUUUAGAAGUGAUGUAGCCGGGCGAUGGUUGACCCGGUCGUAAGGGAUCGAAAAUGAGUAGAGAAGUCAUCAUGGAAAGAGACAAGAAAAGCUGUAUGGAUAUCUUAGGUGCCCGUACCGCAAACCGACACAGGUAGAUAGGAAGAAGAUUCUAAGGCCAACGGGAGAAGGGUUGUUAAGGAACUCGGCAAGUUGACCCCGUAACUUCGGAAUAAGGGGUGCUCAUGAAAGUGAGCCGCAGAGAAUAGGCCCAGGCAACUGUUUAGCAAAAACACAGGUCUCUGCUAAAUCGAAAGAUGACGUAUAGGGGCUGACACCUGCCCGGUGCCGGAAGGUUAAGAGGAGAUGUGAGAGCAUUGAAUUGAAGCCCCGGUAAACGGCGGCCGUAACUAUAACGGUCCUAAGGUAGCGAAAUUCCUUGUCAGGUAAGUUCUGACCCGCACGAAAGGUGUAACGAUCUGGGCACUGUCUCAACAACCCGCCCGGCGAAAUUGUAGUACCGGUGAAGAUGCCGGUUACCCGCGACUAGACGGAAAGACCCCAUGGAGCUUUACUGUAGCCUAAUAUUGGAUUUCGGUAUUUCACGUACAGGAUAGGUGGGAGACUGGGAAGCACAGGCGUCAGCUUGUGUGGAGUCGACCUUGGGAUACCACUCUUGGAGUGCUGGAAUUCUAACCUGCGGCUUUGAAGCAAGUCGGGGGACAUUGUUAGGUGGGCAGUUUGACUGGGGCGGUCGCCUCCUAAAGA
rnacentral:rRNA from 1 species